AUUGAACGCUAGCGGCACGCUUUACACAUGCAAGUCGAACGAGUGGCGGACGGGUGAGUAAUAUAUCGGAACCUGCCCAGUAGCGGGGGAUAACUACUCGAUACCGUGGCUAAUACCGCAUACCAUCGGAUUUGCCCAUAUCGGAUUAGCUAGUUGGUGGGGUAAAGGCUCACCAAGGCAACGAUCCGUAGCUGGUGUGAGAGGACGACCAGCCACACUGGGACUGAGACACGGUCCAGAAUCCGACGGGAGGCAGCAGUGAGGAAUGUUGGACGAUAGGAAGAACCCUGAUGCAGCCAUCACGAGUGUAUGAGAAGGCCUUCGGGUUGUAAAGUACUAUUGGCAGAGAGGCGGUAUCAGCAGAAGAAGCACCGGCUAACUACGUGCCAGCAGCCGCGGUAAUAC
rnacentral:rRNA from 1 species